ensembl:lncRNA
CACAGGUUCUCCUAUUUCAGUCAAUGAGCUCUGUGUUGGAGUUGGACUCUUGGACAGUUCUCUGCCAAUUGCCAUUGUUGUCAGCGUACUCAGAGUACUUUUUUCAGUUUCUGGAUUGUGCCUAAUUAACAUUGUUUUUAAGCAGGGUGCAUACUUAUCAAUUUUCAACACAACAAUACAUCAGACUCUUCUGGCCAGUGAUCACCUUGGACGGGUAGGAACUGCACUCAGAAGGGGUGAGGACUAGAAGUCAUAUCAGUGGAAGGAGGAGUCGUGACGCAAGCUCCAAAAUCCAGAGGAGAGCCGGACCCAGAAGACAGAGCAAGAGAUAGAGCAGCGCCCGUCUCCGGCUCUUCUUCCGGAUCCAUAAGAGAUCCCCCAGACCUGAUACGGCUAGCUGCCUUGGCAGUGGCCGGCCCAGAUACGUGAGGCUCUGAAACCCAACUCGCUUCGGCUUCUGAGAAGAGAGCGAGUCGCGAGCGGAGCUGCCUAAUGUAAGGCGUUACAAUGCCCCUAGACACUUCACCCAGAAAGUGUGCACUCCUCCCCCGUGAUGAAACGGGAGCAAGAUGUAACACACUUCCUGAACUCUCUCACUCAUAUUUUUCUCUCUCGCUCAUUCCUUUUUUUUCUUCUCUUUUUUAAAGGGAUAGAAAAGUCCAGAGAUUUUGAGAAAAGAUAGAGAGGAAAUGAAGCGUCUUUUUGUUUCUUUACACAAAAAACCGACAUGCAGUCUUUUGAGUUGAAGAUAAUAAGGCUGAUGGCGUGGUUCACAGAUGCCAUAUUUAUAUCACGCGACGCGCUUAAUUGCCACGUCACCUGAUCAUGGCAGGCCUAUAAAUAGGCAUGAUUUUACACAAGCUUCAGAUGCUGGUCACGUGCGAGAGGCGCUCCCAUAGUGUUAUGCUAAGUGCAACGUCAAAGUUCCCUUUGAAAGAGAACAUCAGUAUAAUAACAUUUGCAAUCACAGUAAAGAAGAAAAUACAGAAUGGAAAGUGCAGUCUUUUUUUGUUUUGUUUUUGAUCCCCACAUCCCUAUGAGAAUUCAUUUCUACGGUUUAGAGUGAUCAGAUGGGUGUAGUUUUGUGGGACACCCAGUGGGAUUUACCGACCGUUGACAAACUCUGUUACAGUUCCUAUGAAUAAAACUAAAGAGUCUCGAACCCUCAUCAGGGUUCAUACAAGGAGCUUGAAGUACUUGAAUUUGGCUUUUUAUAAUUUAAG